rnacentral:rRNA from 1 species
GGGGCAGCGGGGGUGCAGGCUUGCCUGCACCUGCCGGCGACCGGCGCUUGGGUGAGUAACACGUAUGGAACCUGCCCGCCACAGGGGGAUAACCCGGGGAAACCCGGCCUAAUACCCCAUGCCGCCCGGACCGGGCAUCCGGACCGGGCGAAAGGAGGAAUCCGGUGGCGGCUGGGCAUGCGGCGCAUUAGCUUGACGGCGGGGUAACGGCCCACCGUGGCGACGAUGCGUAGGGGUUCUGAGAGGAAGGCCCCCCACACUGGAACUGAGACACGGUCCAGACUCCUACGGGAGGCAGCAGUGAGGAAUAUUGGUCAAUGGGCGGAAGCCUGAACCAGCCAAGUCGCGUGAGGGAAUAAGGCCCUACGGGUCGUAAACCUCUUUUGCCGGGGAGCAAGGGCCGGGACGAGUCCCGGUCCGGAGAGUACCCGGAGAAAAAGCAUCGGCUAACUCCGUGCCAGCAGCCGCGGUAAUACGGAGGAUGCGAGCGUUAUCCGGAUUUAUUGGGUUUAAAGGGUGCGUAGGCGGGCUUUUAAGUCAGCGGUAAAAAUUCGGGGCUCAACCCCGUCCGGCCGUUGAAACUGGGGGCCUUGAGUGGGCGAGAAGAAGGCGGAAUGCGUGGUGUAGCGGUGAAAUGCAUAGAUAUCACGCAGAACCCCGAUUGCGAAGGCAGCCUUCCGGCGCCCUACUGACGCUGAGGCACGAAAGUGCGGGGAUCGAACAGGAUUAGAUACCCUGGUAGUCCGCACAGUAAACGAUGGAUGCCAGCUGUCCGGGCCGAAUGGGGCCUGGGUGGCAAAGCGAAAGCGUUA